UUCAAACUUGGUCUUCAAGCAGUUUCACCCGUAGGUGGCCAGAGAUUUGCAUCAAUGUCACAUGUUCAACAAUCUCUCCAGUGACUGGAAUAUUCUUAUCCACGGGCUGGAAUCAACCAAGUAUAUCCAAUGAAUAGUUCUGAAGCCAUACACUAAAAUCUAAAAUAUGAAGACAUGUUCCAGAAAACCAAUUUAGUUUGCAAGAAAAUACAUUCCUCUAACAGAGACCUGAAAAACACGAAUAUUUUCAGUUUGCAAACGCAUACCAACAAACAGAUAGAGGCCAGCAACAAACAAGAACAUAGCACACUUUGCAGAUUAACUGAGGCUUCACUACCUUAUAAACCGAAAAAGAAAAUAAAGAUAUCACAGGAGAAGUUUGGAUGUACCCAAUUCAUCACAGGUGCAUAUAACUGAAGUAGUAGGCUAACUACUGCAGUACACUUGCCACUUCGCUAGGGCCAAGUUUAGAAAUACUUGUGAAAAUUCAGACAUAUAAAAGCAUCAUUCCAGGUAUAUAACGAUUGCAACCGCUCCAUUUGGAUACGUGGUAGAUUCAGUCUUCUCAAAAUUAGUUCCUACAAAUUAACCAAUGCAUCCAAAGGAAUUUGUCUAGAUAUAAGCACAUCCAAAAUCUGAGCACAUCUAAACACCUAUUGGACCAGAGAGGAAGAAAAGGAAAAGCUCACCAACAAAUCUUGCAACCUGCCGCAACAACAGGAAACCACAGGCCGAUCGAAUCGGACACGACCGACACCAGCAACAGCAGCAACCAACCCGUAGGAGAAGAAGGGGUGUGGCAGGGGGGCACGUCGACCUGGUCCGUCUUGACCUCGUCCUCCCGCGGCUUCCUCGGGACGAGAGCUCGCGGCGCCGCCCGCCUUGUCAUCAGCGCUAUGGGGAAGAGCAGGGCCACGCCUUGCUACGAGGAAGAGGC
rnacentral:lncRNA from 1 species